rnacentral:antisense_RNA from 1 species
GUUUACGGCGGGCGUGUCGGGCAGGCUUCGGCCUGGCCGGGUUUUGGUCUAGGCGACCGGUUUCGACCCCGACACGUCCGCCACCUCG